rnacentral:rRNA from 1 species
UACGGAGGGGGGCUAGCGUUGUUCGGAAUUACUGGGCGUAAAGCGCACGUAGGCGGCUUUGUAAGUUAGAGGUGAAAGCCUGGGGCUCAACUCCGGAAUUGCCUUUAAGACUGCAUCGCUAGAAUUGUGGAGAGGUAAGUGGAAUUCCGAGUGUAGAGGUGAAAUUCGUAGAUAUUCGGAAGAACACCAGUGGCGAAGGCGACUUACUGGACACAUAUUGACGCUGAGGUGCGAAAGCGGUGGGGAGCAAACAGG